rnacentral:sRNA from 1 species
AGCGGAUGUCGAAGGGGACCUCGUCGACGCUGACGAUCGGCAGUUUCGCCGUGCCGAGCGACGUCGAUAUCAGCGGCGGCGUGU